AGGGAGUCUUCCACAAUGGACGAAAGUCUGAUGGAGCAAUGCCGCGUGAGCGAAGAAGGUUUUCGGAUCGUAAAGCUCUGUUGUAAGGGAAGAACACGUACGGGAGUAACUGCCCGUACCUUGACGGUACCUUAUUAGAAAGCCACGGCUAACUACGUGCCAGCAGCCGCGGUAAUACGUAGGUGGCAAGCGUUGUCCGGAAUUAUUGGGCGUAAAGCGCGCGCAGGCGGUCCUUUAAGUCUGAUGUGAAAGCCCACGGCUCAACCGUGGAGGGUCAUUGGAAACUGGGGGACUUGAGUACAGAAGAGGAAAGCGGAAUUCCACGUGUAGCGGUGAAAUGCGUAGAGAUGUGGAGGCACACCAGUGGCGAAGGCGGCUUUCUGGUCUGUAACUGACGCUGAGGCGCGAAAGCGUGGGGAGCAAAC
rnacentral:rRNA from 1 species